rnacentral:rRNA from 1 species
GGUUCGAUUCCGGAGAGGGAGCCUGAGAAACGGCUACCANNNNNAAGGAAGGCAGCAGGCGCGCAAAUUACCCAAUCCCAAUACGGGGAGGUAGUGACAAUAAAUAACAAUAUGGGGCUCUUACGGGUCUCGUAAUUGGAAUGAGUACAAUUUAAAUCUCUUAACGAGGAACAAUUGGAGGGCAAGUCUGGUGCCAGCAGCCGCGGUAAUUCCAGCUCCAAUAGCGUAUAUUAAAGUUGUUGCAGUUAAAAAGCUCGUAGUUGAAUUUCGGAGUUUGUCGGUUGGUCGGGCUUCACUGUCCGCACUGGCCUGAUGGAUUCCUACCUUCUGAAUAACCAGCAUGCUAUUAAGUUAGUGCGUUGGGGAAGCAGAGCUAUUACCUUGAAAAAAUUAGAGUGCUUAAAGCAGGCUUUUGCUUGAAUAGAUUAGCAUGGAAUAAUAAAAUAGGACGGCAUGGUUCUAUUUUGUUGGUUUCUAGGAUCACCGUAAUGAUUAAUAGGGAUAGUUGGGGGCAUUAGUAUUCAAUUGUCAGAGGUGAAAUUCUUGGAUUUAUUGAAGACUAACUUCUGCGAAAGCAUUUGCCAAGGAUGUUUUCAUUAAUCAAGAACGAAAGUUAGGGGAUCGAAGACGAUCAGAUACCGUCGUAGUCUUAACCAUAAACUAUGCCGACUAGGGAUCGGACGAUGUUAAUUUUU